rnacentral:rRNA from 1 species
UACGAAGGGGGCUAGCGUUGCUCGGAAUCACUGGGCGUAAAGCGCACGUAGGCGGAUUGUUAAGUCAGGGGCGAAAUCCUGGAGCUCAACUCCAGAACUGCCUUUGAUACUGGCGAUCUUGAGUCCGGGAGAGGUGAGUGGAACUGCGAGUGUAGAGGUGAAAUUCGUAGAUAUUCGCAAGAACACCAGUGGCGAAGGCGGCUCACUGGCCCGGUACUGACGCUGAGGUGCGAAAGCGUGGGGAGCAAACAGG